UUACUAGUUUUAUAUAGUUCUCUAUUUCGCGUACUAGAAGUGCCUAAUCUUAUAAUUUAUUCACACAGAUUGACCCUUCAGAAAGGCUGGAUCCUGAAGUUGAAGAUGUUCUUAUUGACAUUGCAGAAGAUUUUAUUGAAUCUGUUGGGACAUUUGCCUGUUCUUUAGCAAAGCAUCGAAAGUCAAGCACUUUGGAAGCAAAAGAUGUACUCCUUCAUGCAGAGAGAAGCUGGAAUAUCACCUUGCCAGGCUUCACUGGGGAUGAGAUAAAACUAUACAAGAAGCCGCAUGUCAAUGAUAUUCACAGGGAGAGACUUACUCUGAUCAAGAAGUCCAUGGCGAGUGAAGGUAACAAAAAGAGCUCUGCUGGGGAAGCUGCAGCCAGCCAGAAAAAUCAGGCUCCAAAGCCACCUGCCACAAGUUCUCCGUGAAGGAAACCACCUUGAAGUAGGACCACAAAUGUAACAUGUAUUCGUAAAGAUGGAGCAGUAUUUGUUCUGUCAAAAACCUGCUAAUUUGGUUGGGUGUCAGUAGUGCUUUUCUACCGCGGAUUUUGUUCAGAAAUAGCUGGGGCAAGAAGCCUUACUGCCUCAGCUACUCGGUCCAUGCUCUGUAUAUGUAUAUGCCCAUGGAUGCUGGCCAUGGAGUAUUUUUACAGUACUAUUGAUCUCAAUCUAAGGUUUAUUAGCAUA